ACGCACGUCGCCUCCCCCACAGUUCUCCGAUUCUCGUUUUCCGAAAGGAAUGUCCGUAAGGGCCUCUCUGCUGGGCUGGAUCACCACAAUACGUCGCAUCUCGUACCUGUAUCAGGAAUCUCGAUGAUUGCCGCGGAAUGGAUUAUUGUGUCACGGUUGUCAGCAACUGACAAGCCAGUCCCCAGCGAGGGUACGAGUCUCGGAACUUAACCCUAAGUAUUCGGUCGGUGUUUUGCGCUCAAAUGUUCGUCUGGGCUGCCCUAUAAAUCCGUGGUGGUUUUCUGCGAUGUCCACGCCGCUGAAAAGUGGAUGGGCCGAGCAGGCCAUCGGGGAUGGAAAGGUGGCGACGGCUGGUCCAGACGUCCUUUCUUGGACGGGUGAUAGUUGGUUCCCAUGAGUCACAAAUGGUAAGAACCUCUGGUCUGAGGUCGCUCGUCAGGUCUCGACUACUGGACUUCGAAUUCUGGUCACUUUGGAUUAUUCUGGCGGUAUUUCGGAAGUUUCCUUGAUGGUUGUGGAUGACCAAAGCGGCUCCCAUUCUUCUCAUAUGUUGGCAUGCUUCGGCUGCCAUCUCCUUUUGUGCAGCAGGGUAGAGCGCAACAUGGGCCUCCUACAGUCGGUCUCUAAACAUUUCCCAUUCGAAUGGGCACGCCUCAGAUUCGCCUUGCCGGAAUCCCUUGGUGCUAGAUACGGGGGAGCAAGGAUCUGAAGGCUUCAAACCGAAAUGCCAUGGAACCGAUCGUCAUCGCCCGGUUGUUACGUUCUCUGUACCCUGACUCACGAAAGGCAUUUGCCUUGAGCUGCGGGUCUCUACAAUCAUCAACUUCCGAUCGCCAGAAUCACAUCACGGCAACAGCCACAGAUGUGUCAUGCAUUGCAUGAGGUCCGACCAGGCGCAUUAACCUGAGCUCAUGGGUCUCGUCCCAGGAGUUGUCAGGGCACCAGACACUUUGCUCCUCGCCACUCGGCGUCGGGCAUUCUCCCUCUCAGCUACCAGAAAUGGUUUGCAUGAGAGAUGACAGCGCAGUUUUUGAGGAUGUAUUUUGUCUGUGCGCGACUUGCCCUCCUCCGCUGCUCUUCGUAGCUCGAUGGAGAGGAAUCAAAAACCAGUCCUUGCUGGCAGUGCGAUCACACGGAAAGAGGCUCUUCUUGAUGCGGCUGGCGGUCCUCGGCACAGCAUCUUGCGGCGAUUUCGACCUUGCUAUGUUUAUGACGACGGGGUGUAUUUGGGCAUGUUUGAGAUGCGGGCGUUGGGCGAGUUGCGGGCGUGAUAUCCCAUGGGAUUUAAUGACCAUGUUCACGGAGCGAUUUUCCGCCAACUGUAGUGUGUCUGAUGAGACUUGUUGUUCGAAUCGCGGCAGAAUCGGGACCCAUCUCGAGUUGGAGUCAAAGUUUUGUACUUGUCCGGUUCUGAUUGUGGCUCUUGCGGCCCUUCUCAUCAAGGCAGCUUCAGGAAGGUGUCGCGCUCUAAGAUCAGGUCUGUAUUAGGAAAGGGACCGGGCUCGUGAAGAGCAGUCCUGACCGCUCUCUCUUCAGAAACGGCGAGAGAGCGGUCCCUUUUUUUU
rfam:Valsa mali var. pyri strain SXYL134 unplaced genomic scaffold scaffold00003, whole genome shotgun sequence.